rnacentral:tRNA from 1 species
GAGGGUACAGCUCACUGAAAGAGUGUACGCCUAGCAUGCAGGAGGUUCUGGGUUCAAUCCCCAGUACCUUCA